rnacentral:rRNA from 1 species
AUUGAACGCUGGCGGCAUGCUUUACACAUGCAAGUCGAACGGUAACAGGUUAAGCUGACGAGUGGCGAACGGGUGAGUAAUAUAUCGGAACGUGCCCAGUCGUGGGGGAUAACGUAGCGAAAGCUACGCUAAUACCGCAUACGAUCUACGGAUGAAAGCGGGGGAUCGCAAGACCUCGCGCGAUUGGAGCGGCCGAUAUCAGAUUAGGUUGUUGGUGAGGUAAAAGCUCACCAAGCCUGCGAUCUGUAGCUGGUCUGAGAGGACGACCAGCCACACUGGAACUGAGACACGGUCCAGACUCCUACGGGAGGCAGCAGUGGGGAAUUUUGGACAAUGGACGCAAGUCUGAUCCAGCAAUGCCGCGUGCAGGACGAAGGCCUUCGGGUUGUAAACUGCUUUUGUACGGAACGAAACGGUGAGCUCUAAUACAGUUUGCUAAUGACGGUACCGUAAGAAUAAGCACCGGCUAACUACGUGCCAGCAGCCGCUGUAA